AGAACUUGAUCAAUAUUAGGCAGGGGAAAGAUAGAGUAAAUGUGUUUAUAAUAUUUAGUCCUCAUUUUAAAAAACUCUCCAUUCUCCUCACUCUAAAAAAUUUUCAUUCUCCUCGUUCUAAAAGAUCAACGAGUACUCUAUUUGUAACAUAAAACUCAUUCUAAAAAACUCUCGAUUCUUCUCACUCUAAAAAAUUCUCCAUUCUCCUCGUUCUAAAAAAAUCAACGAGUACUCCAUCUGUAACAUAAAACUCACUCUAAAAAACUCUCCAUUCUCCUCACUCUAAAAAACUCUCCAUUCUUCUUGUUCGAAAAGAUCAACAAGUACUCCAUUUAUAACAUAAAACCCAUUCUAAAAAACUUUCCAUUCUCCUCACUCUAAUAAAGCAAUAAGUAUUCCAUUUGUAACAUAAAACUAG
rnacentral:lncRNA from 1 species